rnacentral:rRNA from 1 species
GACGAACGCUGGCGGCGUGCUUCAUACAUGCAAGUCGAACGAGAAGCUGACUUCGGUCAGUGGAAAGUGGCGGACGGGUGAGUAGUAUGUAGGAAAUCUGCCUUAGAGAGGGGGACAACAGAGGGAAACUUCUGCUAAUACCCCAUAUGAGCUACCUUGAAAUAGGUAUCUUGAAAACUCCGGUGCUCUAAGAUGAGCCUGCAUCUGAUUAGCUUGUUGGUGGGGUAAUGGCCUACCAAGGCGAGGAUCAGUAGCUGGUUUGAGAGGAUGAUCAGCCACAAGGGACUGAGACACGGCCCAUACUCCUACGGGAGGCAGCAGUAGGGAAUUUUGCGCAAUGGGCGAAAGCCUGACGCAGCAACGCCGCGUGAGUGAAGAAGGUCUUCGGAUUGUAAAGCUCUUUUGCCAGGGACGAUAAUGACGGUACCUGGAGAAUAAGCCCCGGCAAACUUCGUGCCAGCCGCCGCGGUAAAAC